ensembl:lncRNA
CAGCAUCAGGGACUGUCAUCAAGAAUCAAAUGGAGUGACUCUUUAGGUUUAGCAGCAUCAGGGACUGUCAUCAAGAAUCAAAUGGAGUGACUCUUUAGGUUUAGCAGCAUCAUGGACUGUCAUCAAGAAUCAAAUGGAAUGACUCUUUAGGUUUGCCAGCAUCUGUUCAGAUAGAGCUGUAUAAUCUAGAUCCUGCUUUUGUUCAGGGAAUGUACUAUACUGUACAAUCUACAUUGAGUGAACAAAACAUUAAGAACAGCUUCCUAAUAUUGAGUUGCUCCACCCCCCUCUACAAGGUGUUGAAAGCGUUCCACAGGGAUGCUGGCCCAUGUUGACUCCAAUGCUUUCCACAAUUGCGUCAAGUUGGCUGGAACUUCUCUAGGUGGUUGACAAUUCUUGAUACACACGGGAAACUGUUGAGUGUGAAAAACUCAGCAGCGUUGCAGUUCUUGACACAACCAGUGUGCCUGGCACCUACUACCACACCCUGUUCAAAG